CCGUUGCUGUUUUCUAUACAUACAAGGACAGAUUCGCCAUCGAAUUAGAUCAUUACUAUCUCUCGAAGAUGCACAGCAUAAUUUUUGCAAAUAUAUUUCAUGGGCAACAUGGAAGAACAACUUGAUCGAGAGAUCAAUUUAGGAAUGAAGCGAGCAAUUGUUCAAGACCUGCAGCAACUGCUUCAUGAACAUCAUGCGUUGGUCAAGUUGUUUAAGAGUGCUUUAGAGCGCAUGCCAAAUGAUGACUAGAGAUUGUCAUCAAAGCAGAUAAAUGACCAUCUGGAACGUCGCGAUACUGGGCAACUACAACAAAUAUCUGAAACACAUCGAUCAUAUGACGCAUUGCCAUAUCAAAAUAAUAAAUCCAAUGAAUGGUGAAGAAACUACAAAGAAAGUUAGCUCAAUGAAUUACAUAUUACGCAUAUCGUUUGAUGAUUCGUCAAAAUGCUUAUAAUUAUUUGCUGCGGUUUCGUCGAACCAAGCCAAACUGCGUUCUGAGGAGUACAUCCAUUUACUUGAUGCAGUUAGUAAUGAAGGAAAUGCAGCUAAUAUUGAUCGAUUAACUAUUCUGCCGGCGAUGUACAUUGGUGGUCCAAGUCAUAUGCAUGAAUAUGCGAUCCGUUUGCACGAACUUUGCUUUACUCGGACAUGCCACGUUAUUAUACUUGGAAUGCUUCAUCGAAGAAUUUUCAAAGACAGAACAAGGCGUUGCGCUUCCUGAGUAUCCGGAUGUGAGUUCUACUGAUAAUCAUGGUCGUAUGUAUACAGUUCAUCCAAAAAAUGGAAAAUGUUUCUAUUUGCGGCUGUUGCUGGUGAAUGUGCGUGGGCCAACGUCAUUUGAGACACUACGGACUGUUAAUGGUGUAAUAUUCCCAACAUAUCGUGCUGCAUGUGAAGCACUGAAUUUAUUAGAAAAUGAUACCCAUUGGGAUAAGACAAUCGCUGAAGCCCUUAUCUCUGCAUCUCCAAGUCAGAUAACCACAUUAUUCGCUAUCAUAAUUUCGACA